UAUCAAUGCCAUUGAUGAGUUGUCUAAGAAUUUUCCAGUACCAACAAGGGAAGCUUGCCCUUUCAACAACUACAUAUGAUCCUUGAGUUCAGAAUGACAGGGUAUGCAUAGGAUGUUCUUGAAAGUUAACUAGUCAAUAUAAUUAUAUCAAUGUUCUCUCCAAAAAGUUUGAUGAGAGCUGAAGACAAGAAAGAAUAUUGAUGCUGAUGAGAAACUAAGACAUCUUGGUAUGAAUAUUUUGGUGACAUGCUCAAAAGGGAGCAUAGGCCUUGGCAUGUUGCUGAGAGGUAAACUUAUGUUAGCCUGGAGGCUAUUUGUUUCAUAACAAAGGGGGAGGGGAAUGGUGUGGUGGGGCUUGUGUUAGAAAUAAAUAGCCUCUCAGGAUUUAUGGUGGCUUGAGGUUGGUUUUUCGUGAUUAUAAAUUUGUUCUAAAAGAUGUAACAGUAUUUGUAACUCUUUUUUUUAUCAUAGUGAAACCAAUCAUCUCCACCCGUGGACGUAGCCAAAUUGGCGAACCACGUAAA